UACUCUGUAAUGGAUGUCAGGGAGGUUUACUCUGUAAUGGAUGUCAGGGAGGUUUACCCUGUAAUGGAGGUCAGGGAGGUUUACUCUGUAAUGGAUGUCAGGGAGGUUUACCCUGUAAUGGAUGUCAGGGAGGUUUACUCUGUAAUGGAGGUCAGGGAGGUUUACUCUGUAAUGGAUGUCAGGGAGGUUUACUCUGUAAUGGAUGUCAGGGAGGUUUACUCUGUAAUGGAUGUCAGGGAGGUUUACUCUGUAAUGGAGGUCAGGGAGGUUUACUCUGUAAUGGAUGUCAGGGAGGUUUACUCUGUAAUGGAGGUCAUGGAGGUUUACUCUGUAAUGGAGGUCAUGGAGGUUUACUCUGUAAUGGAGGUCAGGGAGGUUUACUCUGUAAUGUCAGGGAGGUUUACUCUGUAAUGGAGGUCAGGGAGGUUUACUCUGUAAUGGAGGUCAGGGAGGUUUACUCUGUAAUGGAGGUCAGGGAGGUUUACUAUUUUAUGGAAUGUACAAUGUGUGGUUAAGG